UACGGAGGGAGCAAACGUUGUUCGGAUUUACUGGGCGUAAAGGGUGAGUAGGCGGUCUUGUAAGUCAGGGGUGAAAUCUCUCGGCUCAACCGAGAAACUGCCUUUGAGACUGCAGGACUUGAGGGCGUGAGAGGAGACUGGAAUUCCUAGUGUAGCGGUGAAAUGCAUAGAUAUUAGGAGGAACACCCGUGGCGAAGGCGGCUCUCUGGGACGGUACUGACGCUGAGACGCGAAAGCGCGGGGAGCGAACAGG
rnacentral:rRNA from 1 species